GGAGUUUGGGCCGUGUCUCAGUCCCAAUGUGGCCGUUCACCCUCUCAGGCCGGCUACUGAUCGUCGCCUUGGUGGGCCGUUACCUCACCAACUAGCUAAUCAGACGCGGGUCCAUCUUACACCACCGGAGUUUUUCACACUGUAUCAUGCGAUACUGUGCGCUUAUGCGGUAUUAGCAGUCAUUUCUAACUGUUAUCCCCCUGUGUAAGGCAGGUUACCCACGCGUUACUCACCCGUCCGCCACUAAGACAUCUCAAGAAAAGAAUGAAUUCAAUUCAGCGAGAAGUCUUCGUUCGACUUGCAUGUAUUAAGCACGCCGCCAGCGUUCAUC
rnacentral:rRNA from 1 species